GACGAACGCUGGCGGCGUGCUUAACACAUGCAAGUCGAACGGAAAGGCCCUGCUUUUGUGGGGUGCUCGAGUGGCGAACGGGUGAGUAACACGUGAGUAACCUGCCCUUGACUUUGGGAUAACUUCAGGAAACUGGGGCUAAUACCGGAUAGGAGCUCCUGCUGCAUGGUGGGGGUUGGAAAGUUUCGGCGGUUGGGGAUGGACUCGCGGCUUAUCAGCUUGUUGGUGGGGUAGUGGCUUACCAAGGCUUUGACGGGUAGCCGGCCUGAGAGGGUGACCGGCCACAUUGGGACUGAGAUACGGCCCAGACUCCUACGGGAGGCAGCAGUGGGGAAUAUUGCACAAUGGGCGGAAGCCUGAUGCAGCAACGCCGCGUGCGGGAUGACGGCCUUCGGGUCGUAAACCGCUUUCGCCUGCGACGAAGCGUGAGUGACGGUAAUGGGUAAAGAAGCACCGGCUAACUACGUG
rnacentral:rRNA from 1 species